CCUACGGGAGGCAGCAGUGAGGAAUAUUGGUCAAUGGGCGGGAGCCUGAACCAGCCAAGCAGCGUGAAGGAAGAAGGUACAGCGUAUCGUAAACCUCUUUUGUCAGGGAACAAAGUCGGGGACUAGUCCCCGGAUGAGUGUACCUGAUGAAUAAGGAUCGGCUAACUCCGUGCCAGCAGCCGCGGUAAUACGGAGGAUGCGAGCGUUAUCCGGAUUUAUUGGGUUUAAAGGGUGCGUAGGCGGGCUGUUAAGUCAGCGGUAAAAGCCUGGGGCUCAACCGCGGGAGGGCGUUUGAAACUGGCGGGCUUGAGUUGGAGAGAGGUACGCGGAAUGCGCGGUGUAGCGGUGAAAUGCUUAGAUAUCGCGCAGAACCCCGAUUGCGAAGGCAGCGUACCAGCUCCACACUGACGCUGAGGCACGAAAGCGUGGGUAUCGAACAGGAUUAGAUACCCGAGUAGUC
rnacentral:rRNA from 1 species